UACGUAGGGUGCAAGCGUUGUCCGGAAUUAUUGGGCGUAAAGGGCUCGUAGGCGGUGUGUCGCGUCGGCCGUGAAAACCUGACAGCUUAACUGUGGGCUUGCGGUCGAUACGGGCAUCACUGGAGUUCGGCAGGGGAGACUGGAAUUCCUGGUGUAGCGGUGGAAUGCGUAGAUAUCCGGAAGAACACCUGAGGCGAAGGCGGCUUGCUGGGCAUGAUCGACGCUGAGGCGCGAAAGCGUGGGGAGCAACAGG
rnacentral:rRNA from 1 species